CUGCAAAUCCCAUCUUCCAUGACUGGUUACUGAGAUUAUACCCUCCAUCGACAGGCACGUUAACACCACUGAUGAAUUUAGCCUCAUCGCUUGCCAAAUACAGUGCUGCAUGUGCAAAAUCUUCAGGUUCCAAUACGGUGCCUUUCAACACAGCUGAAGCCGCAAUCAUCUCCUCUCCCUUCUUCUUAUCGAACAACCCCAGUGUUGUUUGGAACAAUGGGGUCACAGUUGCGUGAGGUGAAAUGCAAUUAACUCUAAUUCCAUGCUCACCUAACUCCACGGCCAAGCUCUUCGUCAACCCUACGACGCCAUGCUUCGAUGCCUUGUAUGCAUGGGGCAGACCGAUGCUGAUUUUUGAAGAAAUACUCGACGAGAAGAGAAUGCAACCUUUCUUGGCCGGAACCAUGACCUUGGCUGCAUACUUGGCUCCCAAGAAACCACCCAAGACAUUGAUAUCGAACACUCUCUUGAAGUUGUCAGUGCUGGCGUCUGUCACUCUGACUUCACCAUCACCAAUAAGGCCAGCAUUGUUGAACAUGAUAUCGAGUUUUCCAAACUUGGAGACUGCUAAGUUUACGGCAUUUUCGACAUCAGAUUCGCAUGUUACAUCACAAUGGACAUAGCUGAAGUUUUCAGUUCCGAGCUCUUGGCAAAGGGAGUGGCCCAAUUCGUCUUGAAUAUCAGCAAUCAGAACCUUGGCUCCAUGUUUGAGAAAUAGCCUGGCUGAACACUCUCCUAAGCCACUGGCACCACCAGUUAUCAGUGCCACCUUACCAUCUAGUCUGUAUCAAACAAAGUAGACAAAAAGUUGAUAUACUAAAAAUCCACCUUAUCAACAUUAUAUUAAACGAUCUAAAAUCAACUCGACUGGCCAAAUUGAAAUAUCUAAAUCCAAUAUAGUGAAAUAUGGAUGCAGGACUUAGUUACCUCUUGGUUACUAAAGACUCGGAACCCAUUGUAGUUUGUGAAGAAAAUAGACCCUCGCCUUUGCUUUUUCUUUUGAUUGCAAUGCUUGGGAUGCUGUGGUGUCACAUCCUGUUAUUCUGCUCUUUAUAGCUUCAGGGAUUGUUCUGAAAGAUCAAAAAUGGCGUCGUCCUUGUUUGUAAGCUUUCAUUUUAAAAAUAAUAUAUUUACUAUAAACAAUAAUCUUGCGUCCAAAAAUUGAACUCCUACAUGUUUGCUACUUUCAAGUCUAUUGGACAAAAUAUUUUUCCAUUAUUUUUGCUUUGACUUAGAAUAUGUUGGGACUUGUCAAUAUGGGCGGUAAAAGAUUUCUACUAUUUUCCUUGAUUUAUUUUAAAAUCUCACGUUAACAGAAUAUUUUUAACAUUAUUAAUAAUUUGAUUUAAAUUAAAGCGUAACUUUUUAUAAUAUAUUUUACUUACAUGUGUGUAGAAUUUAAAAUAUUUCAUUGUAUUUUUAUUUUUAGAAAUUUAAUAUAUUUUUUUUUUAAAUUUUAAAAAUUAGGAUUAAUUGUUAACACUGUUCAUUUUUAUUUUUGUUAAAUUCAAAUUCAUUAAAAUUUAAUUUUUUUACUUACAUGGAUAUAAAAUGAAAUUGUUUUUAUUUCAAAUAUCACACCAACAAAUUCAAUAAAAAAUAUUAAUAGUAUUAAUAAUUAAACUUUAAUUUUUAAUAUGAAAAGUAGAUAAAUUAAAUUCUUAAAAUAAAAAUACAGGAAUUAAUUAAAUUUUAAUUUUAAAAAAAUAUAGGCACUUAUACAAUAUUUUAACCUGUUGUUUUUUUAGACAUUUGUUAUUGGAAAAAAGUCAAAGGAAUAUUAAACAUGGAUUUAAAUAUUGAAUAUUAAAUUCUAAAAUAUAAUUUCAAAAGAUCAUAUAAUAAUUUAAUUCAAAGUUGGCUAACUCCAUUUUUUUUAUAUAAAAUGAAAAUUAAAAGCCAGGCUUAACCUUUACCUACUCAAUUAAGCACGAAAAACAUUUCAAAAUAAGCCUGUCGCCAUAGCCCCACUUUUCGUCGGCUUUGAUAUAAAAUAAGGAACUUUUUAAAUGCAUUAUAGUGAAUUAAAUGUGAAGUCAUUUUAAUAAUAUUAAUUAUUAAUUAUUCAUAUAUUUUAAUGAAAUGUCUGAGUAAAGUUUAUUGUCAAAAAUAUAUAAAUUUAUACAGCAUGUGUAAAAUACAAACACUUUUUUAAAAUUAAUAACACUCAUACAUUUAAUUAACAUUUUUAAUACAUUUGAGUAGUUACUUUAGACAGUUAUCUUUAUCUUCCCUUAAAUUUAUUAGUUAUAGAAGAAUUCAAAAUAGGAGUGUGUCUAAAAACUUUACGAUAAAAGUGUCAUGAAGUCAAUUAUAUUAGGAGUUAGAUUAUAUUUUUUUAUUUUAAAAAUUGACAAAUUAAUUUUUAUAUAUUAAAUAAAAUAACAAAUUAAUCAUUUUAUUAAAAAUCUCAUCCAAAUUUACUACUAAAAAUUGAUGCAUGUACAUUAGCAUGAUUUACAUACUACGUGUCACUGUUUGGUUAUCUCAUUAAUCAUGUCAAUUUUUAACUGUGUAAAAAAUACAAAUUUAAAAAAAAAAGAUUAAUUUAUUUUUUAUUUAACAUAUAUACAUUAAUUCGUCUAUUUUUUAAGUUAUAGAACGAAAUACAAUAUGAUUUUUAAAUAGGAGUUCCUAUGAUAUUUUGACCAAAAGGUUAUUCAAAUCAGUCAUAAGUGGCUGUGAAAGCUUGACCACCGUGAUUCAGAUAAACUAAUUAGCAGCCAGAUUUAGGAAGUUUCCGUGCAUUAUGGUUGUUGACAUCUUUACAAAAUAUCUACACUAAAAUUAAAUUACUUAAAGAAAACAUUUAAAAUAAUUAUAUUAAGGCUUUGAAAAUGUCUUUAGAAAAUAAUUGUAAAAUUAAUAAGUUUUUAAGGUAAAUUUACAUUCAAUUCAGCCUUUUGAGAUUAACAUUAAAUGCUUCUUAAAUUGUCUUUCACCAAUUUAAUAUUUAUUAAUUACUUACAUAACAUAUUAGAACCAAAAUGAAUUCCAUCAAUAUAUUGUCAAAAUGACAUUGCAGUCCAUCAAUCAUAAAAUUCAAAAUGACUCCCAUUUUCCUACCCAUUUAACUUUUUUUAGUAUUAUUGUUAUGAAUUUCUUAUUAAGUGAAUGUUCAUCAUAAUUAAAAUAAAGUUUUAAUGUACUUUAAAUUCUAAUAAUUAAUAGAAUUAGAUCUCUAUUUUUUUUAUACUUCUUAUGCCUAUACAUAGAGACUCUGAUGAAGCAUUGUAAUCAUCUCUUUUGAUCAAUAAAGUACAUCCUCUAUUCCUUUCAUAUUUUUUUGUUCUUUAUUCUCUCCAUCUCUCUUUAUUUUAUAACACGUUAUUAGCAUGAUCUUGCUUAAAGUGAUAGUCCCUUUUAUCGAUGAUCAAAUUUAUCCUUCAUGAUUUUCAAUAUCUUUGAUGGCAAGAUGCAAAGUUUUUACAAGAAUUUUCUUUAAUUUAAUGUUUCAUCUCUGAUUAUUAUUUUUAAUUCUUCUUUCAUAAUAUGUUAUCAUUGUUUUAAUUAACUUAUUUUACUUUUUGUUCUUAAGGAUGGUGAAAGAUUUGAUACCGCUAUCCAUAUGAAACGAAGAAGGAAGAUUCAUUCUCAAAGUUUGAUUUUUGAUAUUUGGUUGGGGAUGAUCUCUUUUUCUUCAUUACAAAGGAUGUUUAUAAUUACUACUUCUCAUCCAUGGUAACAUCAAGAAGAUAUAUGUUGAAUAAAACCUUUAUGUGUUUUACAUUAAAACCAUAUAUAUAUAAAUAACAUGUGAUACUCAUGUAUUUGUAUUAUAUAUAUUCCUCGAAGGAAUACAUUACACUAUAUGAUUGAAAUAUCUAAUGUGUUCCUGCGGUGGCAAUAUUGUGAAAAUGACUUAACAGUAUUUUCGAACGAUCUCAUACCUUCUAGUGGCUAAGCAAAAUAAUAAGUUACUAAUGAAAAACUAUGAAAUUCUUCUCACUAGUUUUGCUUCCUUCCCUAAAGUGAAUGUAACAGUACAUAACAAUUAUAAAAAAUGCAAAUAUAAAGAUCAUGAUUGUUGUUGUAAUUGAGGAUGUGAUUGGAGACUAAUCAUGACAAUAUGAAUAGAUAGAUUUUGAUUUGAAAUCCAUGCAUGUUUUGCGAUGGUGAUUAUGAAAUAAAGAAUCACUUUAGAAGUCUAUCCUACUAGAGUUAUUGCAUUUCCUGAAGUAAACACAAACAUAAAGAAAAUAAAGAUAUAAUCAUGAACCAUUAAAAGUGGGAACAUAGUAAUAAAUAAGAGAAGAAUGAGAGUUCUCAAGAUAACUCUUCAAAGGGUAAAGGUAACUUAUGUUAUCAAUGUGAUAUGAAAGAUUAUUGGCCACAUAUGUGGUAUAUGCCUAAAUAUUUUGUUUCUACUAAUAUUCUUUGAGGAAGGAUAUGAGAAUGUAGUAAUAAAUUCUAUCAUUGUGGAUAGAAAGUAUUUCUCUUAUUUGAUACUAAAACAAACAAAUAUUAUUUCAAUAUUUGAUAGUACAAAAUUAGUCGAAAGCUCUAGAAGAACUAAUAUGUUAAUAUAUUGUGAUGGUUAAUCCAUUGGUUUUAAAAAAUAUUUAUAACGGAUCUUAUAUUGACAUUGUGAAUGAGGAAAAUAUUAUAUUUCAUAUGAAUCACUAUUGCUAUAAAUAUCUAUUUUGAAAGCAUGAAAAAGAGAGGAUUGAUUUAUUAAUUUAUAUUUAUUUUAUGAUCUUUGUACUAUUCUUUUGUCAUCAUCCCCAUUAAGGGUUACAAGCAAAAUAUUUGACUGUGAAAGAUCUAUUUAUGAGUAAUAAAAUAUGAUAAUUCUAUCUAAAGCUCGUUAUGGUUGGAUGCACCUGAAGUUGUAAAUUUUUUUUUUUAGAUAUUUGAAGAUUUUGGGAUAUUCCUUGAAGUGAAUAUUGCAUAUAAUUGUUUGGAAAUUAUAAUUAUUUUGUUCACUUAGUGACAUUAUAAUAUUCACAUUGGUUUAGACAUUUUCAGUAGUAAAUGUCGCAAUAGUACUUAUAUAUGGAUACAAAAUAAAAGAAAUGAUAGUAAAAUUAUUAUUUUGUUACAAUUUAGUACAAUUGAAACACAUGUUAAAGCAAACUAGAAGUUUACUGAUACAAAUGCAUUUACUACUUGGCGUGACCAGUUAGACCAUUCUGGAUCAUAUAUUUAUUAAAGAAUUCAUAUGAAUAUUCAUUAAAGAACCAAAAGAUUCUUUAAUUUAAAAGAAUUCUCAUAUGUUGUUUAUUCUCAAUGAAAAUUGAUUAGUAGAAACUCACUAGCUAAAGUUGAGAUUUAAUGUCUUGCAUUUCUGAAACGAAUAUAGGCUCAUUCAUCCACCAUGUGGAUGGUUUUGAUAUUAUAUGAUUUUGGUAGAUGCAUCUACAAAAUAAUCACAUAUGUGUUAUCAAUUUGCAACCUUUCGUUUGCAAGAUUGUUUGUUUAAAUAAUUAACUUCAGAUCAUGCAAUUAAGAUAAUUUAUCUUGCUAAUACUGAUGAGUUUAUACCUCAUUCUUUUAUUGAUUGAGUUUGAAAAACUUUUGUAAAAGUUUUUUAUUUAUGCAUAUAAUAGAUUAGAAAAUUUAUUGAUUGAACGCCUUUGAUUAAUGUCUAAACCAUUACUUAUGAGAACUAAACUUUUUAUUUCAAAACGAGAUUAUGUUGAUUUACGUGUUGUACGCAUUAAGCCAAUAAGUUACAAAUACUCCCAUUACAAUUGGUUUUUGAUUAAAAGCUAAAUAUUUCUCAUCUUUGAAUAUGUGCGUAUAUGCUCCAAUUGCUGCACCACAAUGCACAAAGAUGAGAAAUUCCUCAAAGAAAGUUGGGAAUAUAUAUUAAUUACAAGUUUCUUUAUAUUAUUAGAUGUUUUGAAUGUAUUCAAGAUUCAAUUAUGACAUGAUUUGUGAUUACAAUUUUGAUUCAAUAGUUUUUUCGACAUUAGGGGGAGAGAAAUAAUAACUCGUAAUGAGUCAGGGGGAGAGUAAUUUAAACCAUAAGUUCAAUAACUCAUUACAAGUUAACUUUAGAUGUAUUUACAAACUUAAUGAGAAUUGUCGAAACCAUCCCUUUUUGAAAAUUUUAGGUUUAAUGAAAACGAGGGAAUCGACUUUUGAAAAACAGAAAUAUGGAGUCGCCACCGAUCCUUUUGUUUUGGUGUGAUCGGAUUACCUAAGAAUUUGGUUAUUUUAAUAAAACAUUUCUGGUUUACUAAAACAACGAUUUUGGUCUACGAACUUUUGAGAAAACGGGUUCGGGAGUCUGUUACGCAUGAGGAAGGAUUAGCACCCUCACUACGCCCAAAAUUGGUACCGAAUCGAUUAAAUACUGUCCUUAUGUCUAAAGUUUAAAGAUGUUUUUGAAAUGUGGUUCUUUUUUUUUUUAGUAACCCGAGUUGAUUGCCAAAAAUAUUCUUGUUUCGACUUCCGAAAGUAUAUAAUUCGAAAAUUACAAAAGGAUGCCCAACUAUUUGAUCCCACGAAAAAUCGAAACCCAGCACAGUAGGGCACGAUUCCACGAAUUUCCAAACAUUGAACAUUGCCUUUGUUUUAAACAGUUUUUAGAGAACGUGAGCAAAAUUCCGAAGGAAUCUUCGAUUGUUUUGAACAAAUGAAAAUGCGCAACCCAGCACGAUAGAGUACGAUUCUCAAAUCACCAAACAUCGAAGAUCACCUUCGUUUUGAAAGGUAUUUAAUAAACAUGAGUGAAAUCCUAAAGGAAUAUUCAAUCGUUUUGAACAAAUGAGAAAUCACAACCUAGCACGAUAGGGCAUGAUUCCCGAAUUGUCAAACACCGAGUAUUGCCUUAAUUUUAAAGGAUUUUUUAGAAAACAUGAGUGAAAUUUUGAAGGGAUAUUUGAUUAUUUUAAGCAAACGAGAAAUUGCAACCCAGCACGUUAGGGCACGAUUCCGCGAAUUGCCAAAUAAUGCACAUCGCCUUCGUUUAAGGGAUUUUUAAAAGACAUGAGUGAAAUUCUAAACGAAAAUUCGAUUACUUUGAGCAAACGAGAAAUUGCAACCCAACACGUUAAGGCACGAUUCCACAAAUUACCAAGUAUCGAAUAUCACCUUCGUUUCAAAGGAUUUUUAAUAGUUGUGAAACUAGCUUAAAAAGCAUUAAUUUGAUUUGAAAUAAAAUGAAAUUAAUCAUAAAAUUUAGAUUUUAUAAAACCACAUUUCAAAAAUCAAUUGGAAAACGAUGAUAUGGGGUAAUACGCGUAUGCAUAAAACACGACAAUGGGAGAGUGGAGGCAAUACAAUUUAUUUAACCAACCAACGAGAACUUAAAUGACUAAGCAUAACUAGCUUGGAAAUAUAACUCAAUUUCGAUCAUGCAUGGAGAAUAAUUAACAUGACAAUAUGAAACAAUGAAUAAAUAAUAUGCAACAAAAAUAUACAUGGUAUAAUAAAAAUGACUACUAUUAGAUGCAUAAAACAAAAUGCAGAUCGAAUAAGCAAUAUGGUGUAAAACUAUUUUAAAACAAUGAUAAGUGCAUGACACAUACUAUAUGGAUUGAUGAAUUGAUAAAUAAAAAAACAUUUGUAAAGACAAGCUUAAUAAACACACGCAAUCAUUAAAAUAUAUAUUGUGGAAUGAAUAUUUUUAAAAUACGUAAUAUAUAAGUUGGUAAAUUUGCGUAGAAACUAAGAAUAUAUAUAAUUAUUGAAAGAAAAAUUAUAGAAUCAAAGUUUGAAUCCAAUUGCAUGUAAAUGUAAAUGUUCUAAACACAAAUUCAUUUGAAGGUUUACAAAAAACAUGAUAAUUAAAAAAUAUAUGAUAUAAAAGAAUAAUAAAAAUGCAUGACAAGACAUAAUACCCAAAAUAGAUUUAUAAAAAAUAUGUACAUAUAAAUUUGUAAAAAGAACGAGAUUAAUAAUAAUAUAUAUAAAUUUUAAGUUAGUCUAAAAAAUAUACACAUGCCCUUAUAUUAAAACAUUUAAAUAAUGGGCUAUAUAAAACACAAAAGCGAUAUAAUAUAAAGGAAUAUUCAAGAAUAAUAAUUUCAUAAUUACAAAAAUGAGGUUUCUAAAAUAGUUUCGUAUAUACAUAAUUAUUAAAAUAUAUGUUAUGGAAUAAAUAUUUUUAAUCAAAUAACAUACAAAAUAUUGAAGAAUAUUAGCUUAAAAAUGACAAUUUUCAUAAAUUUUUUUUAAAAUAUGUACCAAAUAUGAAAAGAUUACAAAAAAUGUAUAAUAAAACAUAAUCUUAGAAACAUAAUGAAUUUACGCAUCAUAUAUAUAUAUAUAACUUUAAAAGUAAUUACUUGUAAAAACAUGUAAUACAUACAAGAUUAAAUUGAUUUUAUUGUAAGUUAUAUGAUAGAUUUAAGAGCAUAACUAUAUAUAAAGAAAACUAUAUGUGUAAAAUAUGUGGGUUUAAUAAUGUAUAGAUUAAAUAUGGUGUACACAAAUGUAUAUACAUAUGAUGAUAAUAGCUUAAAAAAUAUUACAUAGGAUUAUCCGAUACAAUAAUAAAUUUAAAAGGAAUUAUGUGUAUAAAAUGACAUAAGGUUAAUAAUGUGCAUAAAAUGUAAUGAAUAUAUAUAAUAAAGUAAUAUAUACAAAGAUAUUUACAAAGCAUUAUGCAAGAUGUUGUAAUAAUAUGGCAUAAAAAAGCAAACAAUACAAUAGUGAUUUAAGAAAAAGAGAAACAAAAUAAAAACAUUAAAAUAACCUAAAAUAUAAAACGUAAAACAAAGAUAAAAAUGUCGAAUGUGCCUUUAAAACAAAAAUGAAUCAUAAAAUGAAAAAUAAAAAUAAAAAUAAAAAUAAAAGAGACUUAAUUAAAAUAGAAUUAAAGAUAAAAGAGACAAAUUAUGAACAAAAUCAAUUGACAAAAUAAUAAAGGGGAUCGGCGAGCAACACAUGCGAAUGCGCAGGGACCAAGUCUGGAAAUAACCCAGACCCCCAAAACGCAACGCUGAAGUUUGGACUAAAGUGCAAAUGCACGUGAAAUUACAAGGCAAUUUAAAAGAAAGAAAAAAAUGCGGAUAUAGGCCGAUUCGAAUGCCACGCGAAAAGGGAAGGAUCUAUAUUGGAAAUAUCCCCUCACCGCAAAACCGCGCAGAUCCCAGGGGGGAGGACCGGAUCAGGUCGGGCAUGGACGACACGGCAUCGUUUUAGACCUAAUGGAUAAAGCUCAGAACAGCGCCGUUUUGGAUUCGUUAAAAUGGGUAAAAACCAAUUCUCCACCAGCCGAACUACCCUAGCCUCAUCUCCCCUUCUUCAGCAAACCCUAGCAUUCCCUUUCCCCCUCUAGCUGAACCCUAAAUCCCUCUUUCAAGCAUCAAAUCGCCAUCAAGAACGGUGCCUCAUGCUUUGGGCUUCGAUUCGUCACUCUUUGGCCUCACAAACCCCUCUUUUAACUUCAAUUUCGACGAAGCAAGAGAGGAUCGAAGGCGGAUUCGCAAGGUAAAGUUUUUGUUUUUCCUUUUUCUUUUAUUUAGAUGUAAAGAAUGAAAAAGAAAAUCAAAGGGAGCAGAUCGAGAGAGAAAAAACGUAAUAAACCCCAGAGAUUUAAAGCAAAAAAUCACCUUGCUCUGUUUUUUUGCUUUCUAUUGCUUCUGUAUGCGUCACCUUUACAAAGAUUAAAAGCUUGGCUUUUAUAGCCGAAAAGAAAGAAAAAAUAAAUCGAAAAUACAAUAUUCUUCGCUAUUUUUGUUUGUUUUGCUGUGCGUUUGUCCCUUUUUUGCAGGUACAGGGUGCGUGGCGCUCUGGUACGGGGUAGGGAUGGCGUAUGGAGGCUCGUGUGAGAGGCUGCUAGAGGGUACGGAGCUGACGUACGGGCGCGCGCGUGACUGCUGAAAUGCUGGAGCGUACCGAGGCGGUGGAGGCCGAAUGGUUGCGGCGUAUCUGCUGCUAGGGCUAGGGUUUGGUGAAAUUUGUUUAACAUUUGGGCCAUUUGGGCUCAUUUCGGGUAUUGGGUCAGUCCUUGGGUCAUGGGAUUGGUUUUUUUGUAAAUAGGCUAUGGGCCAUAGUAGUAAUUUUUGGACUGAUGGACUAUUGAUAUUUGGAUUUUUAUAUUAUUUUUUGUUUUUAUUUAUUUCUUUGGGCCCGGGCAUAUUGGCCUAUUUACAGUUGCCCCUCUUUGCUCAUUAACGUGUAACGAGAAUAGAGUAAAGACUUCAAAGAGGGCCAAUUUUGCCCCGUUUCGCAGAAUCAUGAUUUCUUUGGUACUCAUUUUCUUCAAGUAGCUUCAAUAUGCUCCACUGCAACUUCAGGGAGACCCGAUUCUCGUGUUUUUACCCUGCUCUACUGCAACUUCAGAGAGAUAAGGAUUGUAACUUCGAUCUUGCUCCACUGCAACUUUAGGGAGACAAGAUCCUGUAAUCUUCGACCUGUUGCCCUACUACCUAAGGGGUUAAUGCUUAUUUUCUUCGAUCUGCUCGACUGCAACUUCAGGGAAACAAGAUCUGCAAUUUUAACCUAUUCCACUACAACUUUAGGGAACUAGUUUGGUGGCGUAAAUCUACUUCACUGUAACUUCAGAAAGAUUAGAUUUGCCAUCAUCGAUCCGCUCCACUACAAUUUCAGGGAAACGAAAUCUACAAUCUUCAGCCUACUCCACUACAACUUUAGAGAGCUAGGAUGGUGGCUCAAAUCUGCUUCACUGCCACUUCAGGAAGCCAAGAUUCGCCACGUUUGAUCUGUUCCACUACAACUUCAGGGAGACAAGAUCUACAAUUUCAGCCUACUCCACUACAACUUUAGGGAGCUGGGAUGGUGGCUUAAAUCUACUUCACUACAACUUUAGGAAGACAAGAUUCGCUGUUGUCGAUCUGCUCCACUGCAAUUUCAGGAAGACAAGAUCUGUAGAAUUUUUCAAUGCCACUACACCGUCUUCUAAAGACAUGAUUUGUAGAAUUGGUUUCCUGUAUCUAUGUUUAUGCCAAAUAAUUAGGGUGCCAUGAUCAAAAUGAAUCAAGUGUCCCUAACUAGAUGUGGUGUUUAUGUCAAAUAAUUAGAAUGCUAUGAUCGAAAUGAAUCAAGUGCUCCUAACUAAAUGAAUGAUUAUGAAUGUAGAAAUGUCAUGAGAGUAAUUCCUUUUUAAAUGCUUAAGGUAUCAUUGCUCAUAGUUCAUCCGGGUUCUAUCAUUGAUGUGCUAUUGCGUCUUCUUGCUCAGCCGUUAUCUUUUGAUAGAAAAUUUGAAGUAAUAGUCCCAACUUGGACUACUCUUUUUCCCAUGUUUUCCACUUUUUGAACCUAGUUAGUCCUGACUAGUGGCCCUGUUUCAGGUCCUUGUACUAUUUAGAGACUUUCCAGAGUAAUAUGCAUAACUUCUUUUGUAUGAAUAUUAUAAGUCCAAAAAUCGUGAUUUCAACAAAAAAUGCUCGAAAGAGAUUAUCAUAAUUGACAAGAUGGAAUUUUAUUGAGUGGAACUCGAAGUGAAUACAUUAAACAUGAUAGUUAAUACUAAGGCACAAAACAAAAUAAGAAGAAAGGUGCCCCAGAUAUCGCAGUACGAGCUUUACUAUUCCAAUUUCUCAAAGGCUCCUUCGAGCUAAAUAUGUGUUUCGGAGAUCCCGCGCAUUUUGUUGAUGCUCCAAGGUGUACUGUUCUUCCCUCUUCUUGAUUUUGGGAGGACAAGACUACCACAUGCCCCAUAUUUAAAAUUUGAGCUGCCCGUUUUUGGGUUUUCAACUCAAAAUCCCCUUUGGUCUCAAAGUGCCCUUUGUGGGUUUUCGCUUUGGCCUCUCCAUUUUUUUUGAAAGCGCCCUUUGUGGGUUUUCACCUUGGCCUUUCAUUCUUUAGGUAAAAUACUUCUUGACGGAAUCUGAAUUUACUGGAUGGGGCAGGUUUUUACCAUCCAUCUCGGCUAGAAUCAAUGCUCCUCCGGAGAAAACUUUCUUCACCACGUAAGGCCCCUCCCAAUUAGGCAUCUAUUUUCCUCAAAAAUCCUUUUUUAUGGGAAGGAUCUUUUUCAAAACCAGGUCUCCCCCGUGGAGUUCUCUAGGGCGAACAUCUUUGUCAUAUGCCCGCAUCAUUCAUUUUUUGUACAUCUGACCAUGAUGGAUAGCUUUUAGCCUCUUUUCCUCAAUUAAGUUCAAUUGAUCAUAUCGAGACUGGAUCCACUCUGCUUCAUCUAACUUUAGCUCUGACAACACUCGGAGGGAUGGGAUCUCGACCUCGAUUGGCAAAACUGCUUCCAUUCCGUAGACCAAAGAGAAAGGCAUUGCCCCAGUUGAGGUUCUGACUGAUGUUCGAUAAGCAAAGAGGGAAAAUGAUAAUUUCUCAUGCCAAUCUUUGUAGGUCUCAGUCAUCUUCACCACGAUCUUUUUAAUAUUUUUAUUUGCCCCUUCUACCACCCCAUUCUUUUUCGGGAGAUAUGGUGACUAGUUGUGGUGUCUGAUCUUGAAUUUACUACAGACUUCUGCUAUCGUACUAUUGUUCAAGUUUAAUGCAUUGUCAGAUAUGAUCCUCUCCGGCAUUCCAUAUCAACAUAUGAUCUCCUUUUUUAGAAAUUUUCUCAUUGCCGAUUUUGUAACACUAGCAUAUGAAGUGGCUUCUACCGAUUUGGUGAAGUAGUCAAUAAUCACAAAGAUGAACCAAUGCCCGUUGGAAGCUUUAAGCGAUAUUGGUCCAAUCACAUGCAUACCCCACAUAGAGAAAGGCCACGGGGAAGUCAUGACAUGCAGCGGUGAAGGAGGCACAUGAAUUUUGUCUCCGUAGAUUUGGGAUUUAUGACAUCUCUUGGCGUAAUUGACACAGUCUCCUUCCAUAGUGGACCAAUAGUACCCGAAUCUCAUAAUUUUCCUGGCCAUUGUAAAGCCAUUAGCAUGUAUCCCACAGACGUCUUCAUGGACUUCUUCCAAGAUUUUCUUAGCCUCUACAGCGUCUACGCAUCUUAAUAGCACUUGAUCCUUUCUUCUUUUGUACAGGAUCUCCCCAUCUAAGACAUAGUUGAUGGCCAAUCUUCUCAGCAUCCUUUUGUCAUUCUCGCUUGCCUGGUCCGGGUACUCACGAUUCUUCACGUAUUGUAAUAUAUCGUGAUACCAAGGGUGAUCAUCUUUCUCUUCAUCUUCUUCAAUAUUGUAACAGUGGGCCAAAAUUUCGUAAAUGCUUAUCCGGAUGGGUUUGACAUCUUCUUGUUUGUUCACCUUGAUCAUGGAAGCUAAGGUGGCCAAAGCAUCGGCCAUCUGAUUUUUGUCCCGUGGAAGGUAGCAGAAGGUAAUGUCACCGAACUCUUUAACCAAUUCAAGGACCAGUUUUCGAUAGUCAAUCAACUUGGGGUCUCUAGUCUCCCAUUCUCCCUUGAGUUGAUAAAUUACUAGCGCAGAAUCCCUAUACACCUCUAGCACUUUAAUCUUGCAUUCUAUGGCUGCACAGACACCCAUGAUGCACGCUUCGUAUUCCGCCAUGUUAUUCGUACAAUCAAAAUCCAAUUUACUAGUGAAUGGAUAAUGAUCUCCAUUUGGGGAUACCAAGACUGCCCUGAUUCUAUUACCCACAGCAUUUGAUGCCCCAUCGAAAUUUAGUUUCCAAGGAAGUUCUUCCAGGUCACCUUCUUCAGCGGUCGCAACACACAUCAGGUCUUCGUUCGGGAAGUCGAAGUUCAAAGGCUCGUAGUCUUCCAGAGCCCUACUAGCUAGAAAAUCUGCUAUUGCACUCCCUUUUACUACUUUCUGGUUCACAUAGACUAUGUCGAAUUCGGAGAGCAGAAUUUGCCAUCGGGCCAUCCUUCCAUUCAAAGCUGUUGACUCCAUCAUGUACUUUAAAGGGUCCAGUUUUGAGAUGAGCCAAGUAGUGUGAUACAACAUAUACUAUCUUAGCCUUCGGGUUGUCCAAAUUAGGGCGCAACACAACUUUUCUAUCGGCGGGUACCUUGUCUCACAUUCAGUGAACUUUUUACUGAGAUAGUAAAUAGCUUUUUCUUUCCUUCCUGACUCAUCAUGCUGACCCAGUACGCAUCCCAUGGAAUUCUCGAAUAUUGCCAAAUACAGUAUCAAUGACUUAUCAGGGUUAAGUGGCAUCAGCACCAGAGCAUUGGAUAAGUACUGUUUGACCUUGUCGAAAGCCCUUUGGCAUUCUUCAUCCCAUACACCUAGGUUGUGUUUCUUGAGAAGGCGAAAAAUAGGAUCACAUUUCUCGGUUAGUUGUGAAAUGAACCGAGCGAUGUAAUUUAAUCUUCCUAGAAAGCCUCGAACCUCUUUCUAAGUACGCGGUGAAGAUAGCUCUUGUAUGGCUUUGACUUUGUCUGGAUCAAUCUCAAUCCCCUUUUCGCUAACCACGAAUCCGAGAAGCUUUCCAGACUUGGCUCCAAAGGUACAUUUGGCUGGGUUGAGUUUUAACUGAAACUUCCUUAACUUCAAGAGCAAUUUUCUCAGGACUUGUAUGUGCUCCUUCUCUGUCGAGACUUUGCGAUCAUAUCAUCCACAUAAACCUCGAUUUCUUUAUGCAUCAUGUCGUGGAACAGGGUUACCAUGGCUCUUUGAUAUGUUGCCCCUGCAUUCUCCAGUCCAAACGGUAUCACCUUGUAGCAGAACGUGCCCCACAUGAUUACAAAUGUGGUCUUCUCCAUGUCUCCAGGAUGCAUCUUGAUCUGGUUAUAUUCGGAGAAAUUGUCCAUGAAUGAAAACAGUGAGUGUCCUGCCGUGUUGUCCACUAAGGUGUCAAAAUGAGGCAGUGGGAAAUUGUCCUUCGGGCUGGCUUUGUUCAGAUCUCUGUAGUCCAUACACAUUCGUACUUUUCCAUCUUUCUUAGGGACAGGGACGAUGUUGGCUACCCAAUCUGAGUGGAGGUAAUACGUGUAUGCAUAAAACACGACAAUGGAAGAGUGGAGGCAAUACAAUUUAUUUAACCAACUAACGAGAACUUAAAUGACUAAGCAUAACUAGCUUGGAAAUAUAACUCAAUUUCGAUCAUGCAUGGAGAAUAAUUAACAUGACAAUAUGAAACAAUGAAUAAAUAAUAUGCAAUGAAAAUAUACAUAGUAUAAUAAAAAUGACUACUAUUAGAUGCAUAAAACAAAAUGCAAAUCGAAUAAGCAAUAUGGUGUAAAACUAUUUUAAAACAAUGAUAAGUGCAUGACACAUACUAUAUGGAUUGAUGAAUUGAUAAAUAAAAAAACAUUUGUAAAGACAAGCUUAAUAAACACACGCAAUCAUUAAAAUAUAUAUUGUAGAGUGAAUAUUUUUAAAAUACGUAAUAUAUAAGUUGGUAAAUUUGCGUAGAAACUAAGAAUAUAUAUAAUUAUUGAAAGAAAAAUUAUAGAAUCAAAGUUUGAAUCCAAUUGCAUGUAAAUGUAAAUGUUUUAAACACAAAUUCAUUUGAAGGUUUACAAAGAACAUGAUAAUUAAAAAAUACAUGAUAUAAAAGAAUAAUAAAAAUGCAUGACAAGACAUAAUACCCAAAAUAGAUUUAUAAAAAAUAUGUACAUAUAAAUUUGUAAAAAGAAUGAGAUUAAUAAUAAUAUAUAUAAAUUUUAAGUUAGUCUAAAAAAUAUACACAUGCCCUUAUAUUAAAACAUUUAAAUAAUGGGCUAUAUAAAACACAAAAGCGAUAUAAUAUAAAGGAAUAUUCAAGAAUAAUAAUUUCAUAAUUACAAAAAUGAGGUUUCUAAAAUAGUUUCGCAUAUACAUAAUUAUUAAAAUAUAUGUUAUGGAAUAAAUAUUUUUAAUCAAAUAACAUACAAAAUAUUGAAGAAUAUUAGCUUAAAAAAUGACAAUUUUCAUAAUUUUUUUUUAAAAUAUGUACCAAAUAUGAAAAGAUUACAAAAAAUGUAUAAUAAAACAUAAUCUUAGAAACAUAAUGAAUUUACACAUCAUAUAUAUAUAUAAAUAACUUUAAAAGUAAUUACUUGUAAAAACAUGUAAUACAUACAAGAUUAAAUUGAUUUUAUUGUAAGUUAUAUGAUAGAUUUAAGAGCAUACCUAUAAAUAAAGAAAACUAUAUGUGUAAAAUACGCGGGUUUAAUAAUGUAUAGAUUAAAUAUGGUGUCCACAAAUGUACAUACAUAUAAUGAUAAUAGCUUAAAAAAUAUUACAUAGGAUUAUACGAUACAAUAAUAAAUUUAAAAGGAAUUAUGUGUAUAAAAUGACAUAAGGUUAAUAAUGUGCAUAAAAUGUAAUGAAUAUAUAUAAUAAUAGUAAUAUAUACAAAGAUAUUUAAGAAGCAUUAUGCAAUAUGUUGUAAUAAUAUGGCAUAAAAAGGCAAACAAUACAAUAGUGAUUUAAGAAAAGAGAAACAAAAUAAAAACAUUAAAAUAACCUAAAAUAUAAAACGUAAAACAAAGAUAAAAAUGUCGAAUGUGCCUUUAAAACAAAAAUGAAUCAUAAAAUGAAAAAUGAAAAUAAAAAUAAAAGAGACUUAAUUAAAAUAGAAUUAAAGAUAAAAGAGACAAAUUAUGAACAAAAUCAACUGACAAAAUAAUAAAGGGGAUCGGCGAGCAACACAUGCGAAUGCGCAGGGACCAAGUCUGGAAAUAACCCAGACCCCCAAAACGCAACGCUGAAGUUUGGACUAAAGUGCAAAUGCACGUGAAAUUACAAGGCAAUUUAAAAGAAAGAAAGAAAUGCGGAUAUAGGCCGAUUCGAAUGCCACGCGAAAAGGGAAGGAUCUAUAUUGGAAAUAUCCCCUCACCGCAAAACCGCGCAGAUCCCAGGGGGGAGGACAGGAUCAGGUCGGGCAUGGACGACACGGCAUCGUUUUGGACCUAAUGGAUAAAGCUCAGAACGGCGCCAUUUUGGAUUCGUUAAAAUGGGUAAAAACCAAUUCUCCACUAGCCGAACUACCCUAGCCUCAUUUCCCCUUCUUCAGCAAACCCUAGCCUUCCCUUUCCCCCUCUAGCUGAACCCUAAAUCCCUCUUUCAAGCAUCAAAUCGCCAUCAAGAACGGCGCCUCAUGCUUUGGGCUUCGAUUCGUCACUCUUUGGCCUCACAAACCCCUCUUUUAACUUCAAUUUCGACGAAGCAAGAGAGGAUCGAAGGCGGAUUCGCGAGGUAAAGUUUUUAUUUUUCCUUUUUCUUUUAUUUAGAUGCAAAGAAUGAAAAAGAAAAUCAAAGGGAGCAGAUCGAGAGAGAAAAAACGUAAUAAACCCCAGAGAUUUAAAGCAGAAAAUCACCUUGCUCUGUUUUUUUGCUUUCUAUUGCUUCUGUAUGCGUCACCUUUACAAAGAUUAAAAGCUUGGCUUUUAUAGCCGAAAAGAAAGAAAAAAUAAAUCGAAAAUACAAUAUUCUUCGCUAUUUUUGUUUGUUUUGCUGUUCGUUUGUCCCUUUUUUGCAGGUACAGGGUGCGUGGCGCUCUGGUACGGGGCAGGGAUGGCGUAUAGAGGCGCGUGUGAGAGGCUGCUAAAGGGUAUGGAGCUGACAUACGAGCGCGCGCGUGACUGCUGAAAUGCUGGAGCGUACCGAGGCGGUGGAAGCUGAAUGGUUGUGGCGUAUCUGCUGCUAGGGCUAGGGUUUGGUGAAAUUUGUUUAGCAUUUGGGCCAUUUGGGCUCAUUUCGGGUAUUGGGUCAGUCCUUGGGUCAUGGGAUUGGUUUUUUUGUAAAUAGGCUAUGGGCCAUAGUAGUAAUUUUUGGACUGAUGGACUGUUGAUAUUUGGAUUUUUAUAUUUUUUUUGUUUUUAUUUAUUUCUUCGGGCCCGGGAAAAUUGGCCUAUUUACAAGAAUAACCAAAUGUUAUAUACCAUUUAAUAUUUUAAUUUGAAUCAAAGUCCCCGUAGGUCAAUCAGUUAGAAUAAAUAAUAGAUUGAUCAGUUCAAAGAUGAAAAUUCUUCUAGAUGGUCAUAUAGUGGAGGCGGGUACUCUAGAAGAGACCGAAGACAUAACUAAUAAGUUAAACUUCAGAAGAGAUUUAUGUACUUGAAACUGAAUUUUAAAAAAAAUUAAAAUAAGAGAUCUUGAUAAGUUAUGUUAUUUCGAGAAAAUGUGGAACCGAAUAAUAAAAGUGGUCGACAAUGACUUUGCAUGUAAUAUUAUUAUUGAAAUAAUGAAAUAAAAUGAGGAUCUUGAAUAAAUCUAUUGAGAAAUAUAGAUAUGGAAUAAAUUGAUCAAAAUAGAAAGACACAACUCAAGUACAAUUAAAUUCGUGGGGUUUUUGGACCAAUAGUCCAAAUAUCUAAAUGUAUAAAACCAGUGAGGGUGCAAUUGAAGUAGUUUUGUAAAAGCUGAAUAAAAAUAUGAAGUUUUUCGCUAAAUCCUUGCAUUGAUUAUGAAAAGAUAUAAUAUUCUUUUGUGGUGGACGAAAUAACCUUUAGAUAUAUUAUUAAAUUGAUAAUUCAUAAAAGAUUUAACUUGCGUCUAAUGGUUAUUGUUACAACCUUUUAUGAGUCAUUAUAUAGUAUAGUUUAUAUUAAAAUCCUUGAAGGACUGAGGAUGCUAGAACCAUAUUGGAAUUCUCGAGAAAUUGAUCAUUUAUAUGAACAAAAAUAAUUUGAACAUAUGGUAAAUUUAACUUAGUGAAUAGUAGUUGAAAGAGGAUUAUAAAAUGAUCCAAAAUACCUAUUUGUGUUUUUAUAAAAGAAUCAUGAUUAAAAUUUGCUAUGAUUAUUGUUGAAUCUCCUGAAGAAAUCAAAAUAUAUUUUCCCAAAUUUUCCUCACUCAUGACUUUUAAAAAAAUGGUAAUAUAAAUGCUUAGCAAAUAUAUUCAAAUAGUCAUUUGAAAAACUAAGAUUCAAGAUUGAAUAUGUAGAAUAUAAGAAAAUAUGUGACGUUUUCAUGAGGGGGAGUAAAUACGCAUUGCACUAUUUUUCCCUUAAUUGAAGUUUUGUCCCACUAGGUUUUUCUGGUAAGGUUUUUAAUGAGGCAGCAUAUUAUGCGUAUUAUAGAUUGUGUACUAUUUUUCCUUCAUUAGGUUUUUAUCCCACAUGAUUUUUCCUAAUAAGGUUUAAUUUACUUUAAAUCCUAAUAAGGUUUUUAAUUGAGGCAUAUUAUCUACCAAUGGACAACCAAGGGAGAGUGUCAUGAAUAUCUUAUUAAGUGGAUGUCUAUCAUGAUUAAGAUAAAGUUUUAAUGUACUUUAAAUUCUAAUAGUUAUUAGAAUUAAAUAUAUACUUUUUAUACUUCUUAUGCCUAUAAAUAAAGAUCCUAAUGAAGCAUUGUAAUAAUCCAUUUUGAUCAAUAAAGUACAUCUUUUAUUACUUUCAUAUUUUCUUUAUUCUUUAUUCUCUCUAUCUCUCUUUAUUUUAUAACAACUACAAUUUUAAUAUUCAUAAAUAUAUUUUCAAGUAAUGACAAAUUAGAAUUAAACUAAUUCAAAUACAAUAGAUAAAGAAUUGAAAUAAUUCAUAUUAAAAUCAAUUCAAAGAGUUAAAAUCUAUACAUUGAAACAUCAUAUGGUAGGACUAGAUACUUAUAUAUAAUAAUUGUACGUGAUAAAUUUCAAAUCUAGAAACUCAAGAAUCUAAGAUCUUAACCUUUGACAAUGAUACCGAAAAAUGAAAAAAAAUAUAUUUAAUAAAUUAAUUUGUAGUUACUUCAUAUUAUAUGUAACCAAAAAGGCUUCAACGUUAACAUUUUUUUUUUUACAUUUUUCAUUUUUCACGUUAGUAAUAAUUAAAGAUCUAAUUAUUCAACGAUAACUCAAUUGAUUUUAUUUUCAUCACUAAAAAAACUAUUGGGUGCAAAUUUGUGCUAAGGACUUGACUGAAUUUCGGGUGAGUGCUUUUUUGACCUUGUAAGCUUAUAUUAAUACUAGUCUCGAUGUCGCAUGCUGAACACAUUAUUUAUAAGGGAAAUUUUAAAGUCAAAAUCAAAAUAUAAAAUAAUAAUCAGAGAAAAUUUAAAGUUAAUUCAAAGUGUAAAAUAUUAAAAAUAAUAAUGGGAAAAAAUAAAAUAUGUUUCAAAGAUCAUUGUAGUAAUAUGAUAAAAAGAAACUACUAACAGGAAAUCUAAAGAUGUCAAUUUGUCAAAGAUUUUCGUACUCUUCUUAAAUUUAAAAUAAAAAAGGUAAUAAUUUAUGUCUUCAAAUUUUCAUAUAGUGUAUUUUGAAUGAAAAUGUAACACCCCAAUUUAGUUGGUGUAAGAAAAAAUAAUAUUAAGUUUGAAUUGUUAAAUCGAGCCACUCGAAAAGUUGAAACGAGAAAGUUACGAAUGAAAUACGGGUUAAAGGAGUGAAUUUAGCUAGGAAUUAAAGUGCUCAAGUUGUUAUAAAAUAAUACAGGGAUUAAAUUGUAGGAGUUAUGAAAUUAGUAAAUAGUAAUUGAGGGACUUAAGUAGUAGUGAACCAAGGAUUAAAUGAAUAAUUAAACCAUUUAUAAUAUAAAUUUAGUGCUUCUGAAUUAUCCUAUCCAUUAAAUGCCACUAACUAAUGUUAUGUUGAAUGAUGACAAUUGAUAAUUAUGCUUAAAAACAUGUUAGUGGAGAGAGAAAACUAUGAGCAUUGAGUUUUAUUUUUUUUUCAUUAUUAUCUUCUCACCGUCCAAGCUAUGAAGAAAAAAAAUGGCUUUGUUCUUCUCCCUUUUACCGUAGCUUUCACCAAGAGAUUAGUUUGUUUCUUUUCUUGAUUUUUGUUGGAUAUUUGUUAAGGAAUGUUAGAUAAUAGUAGCCCAUACUUUAGAUUUUGUAUUUGAUGAAAUUUUGAUUAAAAUUCUAUUAUUGAAAAUCUUAAAGAUUUAGAUAUUAAGAGAAUUAAAUCAUGCAUGUUUUAAGUUAGUUGGAGUCAUGACAAGAGGUAAAUAAAAUUUGAAUGAUCUGUUGUUAGGGACCUAAUUGUAAGGGAUAAUAAUUUUGUAAAUUAAUAAUGAAAAAUGAUGGAAUGAGGACCCUAUACUAUAUUUACGUAGUUGAUAUUAAAUUCGAUUGAGCAAAUCAUGAGAUACGCAUGUUCUGGAUUUUAGGGUCUUAAAGGACCAAACUAAAUUAAAUUAAAUGCAUUCAUGCAUGUAUGAUUUCAUUAGCUGUGAGUUUGAAUUAUGAAAUUAACGGCAUGUUUGUAACGUAUUAUUGAACGUAAUUAAAGAUGAAGUUGAAACGUCAAAAGUGAAAGGAAAGGAAAAAAGCAAACGUCGAGUAGAAACUGCAGUUUGUGCCACUAUAAUUCAUUUUCAAUUAUUCGUUACGUUGAUUAGCUAUUUGAUAUAAUCCAACAUGAAAUAAACACCAAGGUAACUGUAUCUUUCCUUAAAAGCUUUGAAAUGAUUAAUUUGAAAUUGUGAAUGUUCAAAUCAUGUUAUAGAUGAUUGAUUUUGGUGAUUUAUAGGUAUAAAUGCUCGAUUCAUGAAAUAUUGAGAUCUUGAUAUUUAACUAUGAUAAUAUGUAUUAAACAAUGUUAGACGUAGUUCGGAUAGAAUUAGCGUGUCAUAGGGUCACUAAUAUCAGUGAUGUAUUAGCCCCAAUUCUCAGAGGAUCAUGAACAGUUCAAUUCUCAAAGAAUUGUCGACAGUCCCAAUUUUCAGAGUAUCGUGGACAUAUAUUAAUAUUCAGAUUGAGUAGUCCCAAUUCUCAAAUGAUUGUGGACUUCUUUACUAUAUAGAUCUAAGUAUCCGUCCUAUUGUUUAUUGUUAGUUAAUAGAGGUCAAAAUGUGUAAUUAAUGAAAGGUGAUAGUGAAUUGAUAUGUUAAGUAUUGAAUAUAUUGUCACAUGAUAUUUUAAAUUAUUGACAUUACCAUUGAGUGAUGAAUCAUAGAGAAUGAGAAAAUUGAGAAAUAUAUGAAUGAUUAAUAUACGUUAUGCGCAUAUGGAAGAAAUGAAAAAUUAAUGUUGGCCAAUAAUACCUUAAGGUUGCAUGAACCUUUGGUAGGUUGGUAUGAAUUCAUAUGAUGAUGAUAUAACUCUAUUUAGCGUGGUAUUGUAAUUGUUGAUUCUACGAUGAAAAAGAAAAAGGCCAAAGUAAUAUCACUAAUGCUAUACUUUUUUACAUUUAUUAUGAAUUUAAUUUAACUGUGUAUUAAAUUUGAAGUAUAUUGGAUACCCUGGUCUUCCAUGUAAAGAUGAGGGCUUUUUUAUGGGGCAGGGCUGCUUUUGAUGAGUGUAGGUUUAAUGAGAGAUUAUGGUGGUUUUGUCCGAAUAAGUGUUGUGUUUCUAAGUCUGAUCCUAGGGGUUGGUGUUUUCCACCUCAUGGUUGGCUUAAAUUUAACGUUAGUGGUAUUGCUUUUGAGGGUACUCAGGGUGGUGGAGGAGUGAUGAGAAAUGAGGAAGGAAUUGUUAGAGCCUUAUUUUCAGGUCCAAUUGAUGCAGGAGAUUCUGAGUCAGCUGUAUUGGGAGCCAUUAUCACUGCUCUAGAUACUUUUAUUGAAAUCGGCUGGAAGGGAUCUGCUUAUUUGAUUAUUGAAUUAGGUAAUUCAAGGGAGGCUUUAGUUGGAUUAUGGAGAAAUCAAGGAGACAUUAGUCGCAUCAAGUUAUAUUUGCUGAUCUGGAAAUGAGGUGGAGCAAAGUAGGGGAGUUAUCUUUUUCAGUUGCUGAGGCGAAUGGAAAUGAAAUGGCAGAUUCACUAGCAAUUGCAGGGAUGACUAGAACUUGUAUGUUUAAGGCUUGGUGGUGAGUUUGUUUGUAAUGUUAGAUUUCAUGUGUAUGGUUUGUGGUUUUGGGGUACGUCUUGCAGUAUUUUUAGUGGUUAUUGCUGCUGUGAUGUUUGAAAACUUGAUCCUAGGACUGUACGGUUUGUUAGGGUUGAUGAAUGGUCACAGUAGGCAGGAAACGUUGGUCUUGGGUGUAUUAAUCUUAUUUACUUUUACAAGUGGUAAAGGCAUUAAUGAGAAAAAAUAAUUGAAGUAUAUUGGUACCACUAAAUAUACAAUAUUCCGCGUAUAGAUUUAUUUAUUUUGUGCGCAUGUCUAAUAGGUUCAAGUUAAAUUUUGAUAGAAGUAAAGGACUUGUGAAACAUUUAGGGUUCUACAACUCAACUCACCAAUUUGUUUUUUUUUAACGUAAAUAGUUAAUGGCAUGUACCGGUCAUAGGGUUUAAUCUCAUUUUGGGGCCUUCUCGCAUGCUUUGGUAAUUGACGGAUUUUAAGGUUCCUUAAAGUUGAACUUAGUGGUAUAAUUAUGAUAAUCAAUUGCAUGGUUAAUUUCGCUUCCUUUAUUAUUCUUCUACUUGCACAACUAUUGGAUGCCAUGCUUGGCAAUAGUUUAGAUGUGUUUUUACAUGUUAAAAUGGCGUAUGUUAGUCUGAUACUAUGUCAGCAUAGGUUAAAUUUGCAUUUGACACUCAUGGAUUGACACUAAAUGUAGUAAAUGGAACAUUUAAUCUCGACACAUGAAGAUUAGAUCUCAAGGCAGCUAGAGCAAAAAUGAUUAUUUUUUUUUUUUUUUAACUUGGGUCUUGAGACAUGUUAGUAUGUCUUGAAAAAUAUCAUGUCAUGUCUUGAGACAAGUUUGUCUCGAGUCUAAUGAACUUCGAAUCAAAAAUAGUUUUAUCUUAUCUAAGUCUUGAGAUAAGAACCUCUCCUCUCAAAACAUCUAAGCAUCAAAGUUAGAUUAAAAAAAUAGGGAAAUCAUGUCUCUUGAUCAAUCUCAAGACAUGUAAGGUUUAGUCUCGACACAUGUAUCCCAUUAUCAACAAACAUAUCAACUUUGAAGAAAAAAUAGAAAUCAGUGGAGUUUGGUCUCGGGACAUGAUUUUAUUGUCUCGAAACACACUGUCAAACAUUAAUUCUUAAAUAUAAUUACCAUCUAUAAUGCAGGUAUAUGGUUAUAGACGACGGUUGAUAUGUUAUUAUGAAUAAUCUUUAUAUGUUAAACUUAUGAAAUUGUAUUGAACUAGUUUGAGUUGCUUAGGUAACGUAUUGUGACAUCAUAUAUUCGGAUUUAACAAUCAGGUCGAAUGUGAGGUGUUAUAAGCAAAUAUUUAAAUUUACUUUGAAGUUAUUUAGAGUUUUUGUUUUAUUUAAAAAUUAUUUAAGAAAACAUUUAUUUCAAUACAUGUCAAAAGCUUUACAGGAGACUGAUCGACAAAACAAUUUAUUACAAGUAAUGUAGCUUUGGAUUAAGCUUUAUUUUCCUUAUUUAAUAAAAUAUUGUUCAAAGAGUAAAACAGUGGACUUGAUGGUUUAUUCAAAAAGUGCUGCAAAUCCCAUCUUCCAUGAUUGAUUGCUGAGACUAUACCCUCCAUCGAGUGGUAAGUUGACACCACUGAUAAAUUUAGCCUCAUCACUUGCCAAAUACAGUGCUGCAUGUGCAAAAUCUUCAGGCUCCAAUACAGUGCCUUUCAACACUGCUGAAGCCGCAAUCAUCUCCUCUCCCUUCUUCUUAUCGGGUAUCCCAAUUGAUUUUUGGAACAUCGGAGUCGAAAUUGCAUGAGGUGAAAUACAGUUGACUCUAAUUCCAUGCUCACCUAACUCCACGGCCAAGCUCUUCGUCAACCCUGCAACGGCAUGCUUCGAUGCCUUGUAUGCAUGGGGGCUACCGAAGCUGAUUUUUGAAGCAAGACUUGAAGUGAAUGCAACCUUUCUUGGCCGGAACCAUGACCCUGGCAGCAUACUUGGCACCCAAGAAACCACCCAACACAUUGAUAUCAAACACACUCUUGAAGUCCUCCGUGCUGGCGUGUGUCACUCUUGCUUCGUUGUCACCAAGAGUGCCGGCAUUGUUGAACAUGAUAUCGAGCUUUCCGUACUUGGAGACAGCCAAGUUUACGGCAUUUUCAACAUCGGAUUCGCAUGUUAUAUCGCAGUGGACAUAGCUGAUGUUUUCAGUUCCAAGCUCUUGGCAAACAGAGUCGCCCAAUUCGUCUUGAAUAUCAGCAAUGAGAACCUUGGCUCCAUGUUUGACAAAUAGUGUGGCUGUGCACUUUCCUAAGCCACUGGCACCACCAGUAAUCAGUGCCACCUUACCGUCUAGUCUAUAUCAGACAAAGAAAUAGGUUUAGAUACUAAAAUUCGGACCCGAACCUAUUCGAUAAAAUCUCUUAAGAGACUAAUUACAUCAACCAGCUUAACUAAGCUUUGGAUUCAACUUUUUUUCACUUAGAAAACACAUUGGUACCAUGUUAAUUUUGAUCCUAAUUAAAAAUAACUUAAUUAAUCUGAUGUAAUUAAUCUGAUUCUAAACCAAACCAAAUCAAAACCAUUCAUAAAAAAAUCAAUAACGUAAAGCCGUUUAACUUAAACAUGAAAAUAAUUCAAAUAAAUAAUGACCUAAAUUUACAUUACUCAAAGCGAACAUGCAACCUAAAAUGAUUUAAAUCUGAGAUGAUCCGAAAAUCUAAAAACUCUAAAUAACUCGCCCAGUAUUAACACAAUUAGAAACCAACCCAACCCCUGAAUAGAAAUUACCUCUUGAUUACUGAAGAUUCGGAACUCAUAGUAGGUGACAAGAAAAUAAACGCUCGCUUUUGAUUGGAAUGCUUGGGACGGUGUGUUUCAAUUGGAUGUUAUUCUGGUCUUUUAUAGCUUCAGGGAGGGUAACAAUGUUCCAAAAAAUCAACAAUGGCAUCCUCCUAGUUUGUACGCCUUCAUUAUAAAAAUACUAUAUUUUAUAACUUUGAAGUCAAUGAUCCAAAAAGAAAGUUGAAGUCUCGAUUAUGACUUUUCUAAUUAAUCACCCUUGACUCGGAAUAUGUCGGGACUCUCCAAUUACCUAAUUACAUUUUUUUAAAUACAAAUGUUUUUUACCAUAUCCAUACAUAUGAAGCAUAUAUUUUAUCAUUAGCCAAGUAUUUUGACUCGGUUAGGUUUCAUAAAUUAAAUGAUAUUGAUUGAAAGUACGUAAGCACAAUACCAAUAAUUGAACUGCAUUUCAACGUAACUCAAAGAGCCAUUAAUCAAUCAGCGCCGCAUAGGAGUAGGGACUUGGUUAUAUAUUGUCAAGUUUAUGUUUUUUUAUUUCAUGGUUUAUUUUGAUUUUUUUUAUAUUGUAAAAAAAUUAAAUUAAAAAUAAUUAUAAAAAGUUUAGAAGUAAAAAAAAUAAACCUCAUCAAAAAUCAAGUAAUUUUUUAUCAAAUUUUUUCAUCAAAUUAAGCCUUUAUCGACAAUGAAUUAAUGCUUAUGACAUGUAGCAUGUAUAAUGAAUGUUGAUGUGCCUUGCUAGGUUAAAAUUAUAAAAUUAUUAUAGAAAUCAUUAUAUUCUUAUAAAAAUUAUUGAAAACGUAUGCAUGUAGCAUGCAUGCCAUGGAUCAGAACGAGGUAAACCAGGGCCUGCGGGAUGUAGUAGAGUACAGAGGGAUGAUAAGGGUGUUGUAAAGGGUUUGUUCUCAGGCCCGCUUGGUGUGAUGAACUCCAACGAAGAUGAGUUACAACUUACAUGCUGGCAAAAAUGCUCUACGCCUCUUUAGCUCUUCGCAAUGGUUACAUAGGAUAUUGCUAGUAAUUCUUUCACAACUGAUAAGGUGGAUGUGGUAAUUCAUACUUUUGAUUCUAAUCAUAUUUUUUUCAUAUGAGACUUUUAGUUAUUGUGAGAAGGGGGAUCAAAGGGCUAAAGUGUUAAAAUUUCCAAAGGUUAGAUCAGUUUUUGAAAUUGAGGAGCAAAGAAAAAUGGUAGAGGUAAAAAGAGUAAGAACAAUUUUCCAAAACCAAAAUCUUCAGGGAAAAAUUGCUAAUGAAUAGCUAUCAUAUUCCGAUUUUCAAAAUCAAAAGAAGAUAUGAUGGAAAGAGGCGACGGGGGCAUGGAAAUUUGAAAUGAGGUCCAAUAUGGCCCCAUAUUUCAAAUUUUAAUAUUUUUGUUUUAUUCUCCAAAAAUUUUGAUGAUAUUCAAUUUAGCCCCUGACUUGAAACCAAAUUUUUAAUCCUUAAUUCUAAAAUCAAAUUAAAAUUUAACUUAGUUCUAGUGCCAUGAGACUAGACUUUCAAUCUCACAAUUCGUGUAGCCUUAGACGAUUCUAUCGUUUCAAAUGUGCCUAAGUCAGUCUAACUCCCAUAAAGUGAGGAUUCUCGCAGAAUUCUUCCAAGGCACCAAUUUAUAUAAUGGAAGCAACUCAAGCCAAAAGGAUGUUCAAAAGAACAGAAGAACUACAGAAGAACAAUGCAUGAGAGGUGUUUGAGCAAAUGCUAUCAGAAAAUUCUAUUACUCUAAGAAUUUAGGACACAAUGGAUGAUUUACAACUGAGGGGGGGACUACCUAUUUAUAGUUGAGCUCCCCCAAAUCCAAUGGUCUAGCUAAAUUUACAUCGACAGACGAGAUGAAGCAUAUCCCUACAAUUAAGGGAUUUACAAGAUUACUGUAACACCCCAAACUCGGCCUAGAUAUUAUGGCCGUAUCUGGCAAUGUCACACGAUAAUGUUUUUGAAACCUCGUUGUUACGAUGAAAAUAUUCCAUGUUAUUAUCUUUAGUAAACCUUUUUUAGAACUUAGGAAGUCAUCUUUAUUCAUUUAAAACAAUUGUUUUGAAACAUCCCUCGUUGUGGAAGCUUUAAUAAAACAGUCUAAGUGAUCAUUCGUUUAGAAAAUACUUUAACUUUUUGAAAACCUAAUUUCCUACGACCAGCAGGUAUAAAUCCAUAAAGUAAAAUAAAUAAAUAAAAACCCAAAUUUAAAACCAAAGUCCCAGAGGGUCCUUAAAUUACAACCCAAAUAAUCAAAUUAUAAAUCGUAAAUUGAAAACCAUGAAGUCUAAAAAUUACUGUGGUCACUACUGAGUCCUUCGUAGCACCGAUCUGUCUAAGUCUAGGGAUUACCUGUGCACAUUAAACAAAAAGGGUGAGUUUAUGUAAACUCGGUGUGUAAUCCCACAGAAACAAACAAACAAGCAGUAUUCACAGUGCACAGUUGAACAAUUUUGGGCCUAAGCCCUUUUUAGUAUCAAUGACAGUUUGGGCCUUAGCCCAUCUCAGUACAGUGUAAAACAUGCAGUAGGGCCUUAACCUAUCACAGUAUCAGUAGCAGUAACAGUUAUGCAGUAGCAAAAUCCUACCCAACCAGCCUCUACACACUAUCUCCGUCCAACCCUACACUCCAUAUGGGGAUAUAAUCAACCCACCCAUCCCUACACUCCAAGUAGUACCGAAUGCGGCACAAAACAGUAGUUUGCAGCUGAGCUGCUAGUAAAUUAGGCUUAAAGCCUUUCAAUACACUUCCUUCGAAUAACAACCCCUAACCCAAUGCAAUGCAACAUACAAUGAAUGAUAUGCUAUUAUGCAAUUUCAGUACAUAUAUUCAAUUCAGAUAUUAACAUGCUCAGUACAGAUAUCAUUCAGUCAAUUUCAAACAUUCAGGGGUCUAAGUAGCGCUUACCGACCUUACAGUAGGUUCACAGUUGACUUGGAUGACUCGUGCAUGUAACAGCCCGAUUCUGGGCCUAGUCGGAAUAGUGGUUUCGGGACCACAAAUCCGACGAGGGAAAAUAUGGUUAUUAUUAUAUUUUUAUGAUCUACAAUUUCACGGAAAAUUUUCGUAAAAAUUUCGUUCGAAAAUUUCGACGUUUGGGCACUCAAUUUAGUCAAAAGGACUAAAUUGUAAAUAGUGCAAAAGUUGAGUUCUACAUCUUAGAGGUGUCUAAUUGUUAUGAAAUUUUAAAUUGGAGGUCUUUAUGUGGUAAUUAGACCAUUAGUUAGUUGAUGGACAAAAAUAGACAUAAGAAAUGGGUGAAAUAGAUUUUUUUUAAAUGGGGGCAUUUUAGUCAUUUGGUUAUUAAAUAGAAUUAAAUGGGAAAAAGAUGGCAAAAUAUGCUCAUCUUCUUCAUGGUGAACGAAAUCAGCAAGGGGGAAGCCAUAUUUAGGGUUUUUAAGCUUUCAAGCUCCAUAGUAAGUGAUUCUAAGCCCCGUUUUUAAUGUUCUUCGUAUUUUUGGAGUCCCGGUAACUUGGUUUAGCUUAUUCUACCAUUAAUUCAUGUUAGGGUUCAUAUUUGGAAAAAUAUCCAUAGGUGAAAUGUGUUUAUUUUGCUGUUUUAUGGUGGAAUAUGAAGCUAGAGAUUAUGUUAAACAACUUUUGCUAAGCAAUUUUAAGCGAAAACGGGUAAAUAGACAUAAUCGGUAAAAAUAAUUAAUAUUCAAAAGUAUGUGUUGGAGUGGGAAUUUGAUGUUUCCAUAGAAGGAAAAAAUGUUCAGCAUGUUAUAAAACUUAAGAAUAAGUGAUGAAGUUUAAUUUCCGAGCUUGGGGACAAAAGUGUAAUUAUGCAAAAGUUUGGGGGUAAAAUUGUAAUUUUCAAAAAGUUGGGUGGUGGAUUAUUUUAAUAAAUGUGGACUUUAAACGAGUUAAAUUUGCUAUUAUAGAUCAAGAAAGACGUGAAGAGUAUAUCAAACGAGGAAAAGAAAAGAUAGUGGAGUAAAGUGCAAAAUUACGAUAUUUUGCACCGAGGUAAGUAAACACGUGACUUAAUGUAUUAUUUUGAUAUUAUUUGAUAUAUGUUGAGAUUUAUUUGGAAUUAAAAUAAAUGUUUGGCCAUAUCCUAAAAAUGUUGUUAAAUCGGGAAAGGUGAUAAAGGGUUGCAAUAUAUGGGUUAUGGGUUGAACACUCGGAAUAAGCCGUAGUAUGUUGUAUAUAAAAGGGGUUGCUGUGUGCUGAUUCCCCGAUUUAUGGGUGGUGCUAUGUGUGUGAUCCACCAUAUCUUUGAAAUGUGAAAGGGGGUUGUUAUGUGCUGAUUCCCCCGAGGGGUUGUUAAGUGCUGAUUCCCCGGUUCAUUGGUGGUGCUAAGUGCGAUAUCCACCAUAUCUUUGAAAUGUGAAAGGGGGUUGCUAUGUGCUGAUUCCCCCGAGGGGUUGCUAAGUGCGAUAUCCAUUGUAUAUUUGAAAUGAAAAGGGGGUUGCUAUGUGCUGAUUCCCCCGAGGGGUUGCUAAGUGAUGAUUCCCCGAUUCAGUGGUGGUGCUAAGUGCGAGAUCCACCAAUAACGGUUAACAUUCCGAGUGUUCAACGAAAAAGUGUGGAAGGUGAAUAUUUCCAUAUGGUGGAAAAUUUUAUGGGGUAAAUAUUGAGUUGGACACUAAAUCGAUCCAUGUAUGAGAUGGGAGAAAAUAUCAAAAACGAAAAAGGAACGAUUUAAUUAUAAACUGUGUUGAACAACAGCAGUUGGGUAACUUUGAAAAAUCACCAUAAAUGGUGGAAAAUGAAUGGGAAGCUGAAUAAUAUAUGAAAUUGAAGCUAGAUGUGUCUGUUUUCAUAUGAAAGAAAUAGAAUAAGCAAAAGAGUUGUAUUUUUGGAGAUAUCUGAAUUUUACUGAAACAGGGCUGGAUUGAUUUCGAGAUCCCCUGUUCUAACUUUGGAAAAUUACCAAAAAUUUUAAAAAAAUAAUUAUGGCAUGAAAUUUAUAUCCCUGGAAUCCUUAUUGAGUCUAUUUUUAUUAGAAACAAGAAAAACCAUUUUUCAAAUUUUGUACAAAGAGUUAAGUAAAUUUUAGUGAGGAAGGGUCAGAACCGUUGGGCAGUGAAACAGGGGAAGGUUUAAUGAAUAAACUGUACUAAUUGGAUGGGUUAAAAAUUCUGAAAUUUUUAUGGUGAAAUGGUAUAUGAGUCUAGUUUCAGGGAAAAUUUACGGAACUCAAUUUGGAGCCCUGUAGCUCCAGAUAAAAAUAAAUUAGCGACUAUGAUGCAGAAAAACAGCUUGCUGGAAAUUGUCUAAACAAUAAAGUUAUUCAUGAAUAAGUUUAUAUUUUGGUGUAGUUAUGGGAGUAAUUACUUAUUUAUCAUGUGUUUACUUACUAAGCUAUAUGCUUACUCGAUUUUAUUUUUCUCUUGGUUAUAGUGACUUCCAACAACUCGGAAAUUGGAACGAAGUCAGACAAUCAUCUACACUAUCCUUCACAUUUGGGGUAUUUUACUACUAGUGUUCCGAAAUUUUAUGGCAUGUAUAGACACUUUAUGUAAUGUGGGAUCAUCAUGUAAAUAUAUGUUAUGGUUCCCUUUUAAAUGUAGUGUUUAUUAAUAGUUAAACUAUAUGUGUGUUUAUACAAAUGAAAUUGGUUGGUAUAUUGGAAUGUGUUCUAAAUUUGCAGGAGGUUUAAGCAAAAAUAAGUAGGAAUGCUGUCGAAAAUUUUUAAAAAUAUAGUAAUACCUCAUACUCUGUUCUGGUAAGGAAUACGGGUAAGGGUUGUUACAGUGCAACCUUAGAAACAUUUCGGUAAAAAUGGGCUCACACGCCUAUGUGAUCUACCCGUCUGGCCCCACACUCUCGUGUGGCCUACUCAACCCAAAUUGGCCUUGGCCAUGUGAUCCAUUUUUAAGGUAACCCAUGCUAGCUAAAUAUUCAUAUAUGUUUUCACUAUUUACUUAUAUGUUUAUUCAAAGCUGUCUAUUUGAGUCAUUGUCACUUAAUUAUUUAUAUCUUAAGCUACAGAAUUCCAAAUUAAGAUCCGCUUGAUGUUUUUGAAACUAGACUCAAAUACCUUUCUCCACAAAAUUUUCAGAAUUAAUAGUUUAUCAAAUAAAUACAGUAAAAUCUUCAAAUUUAUCCCUAUUCUACUGUUUGACAGCUUCAACCUUUCCUUACUAAAAAUCAUUUAUCUCUUAGUGCAGAAUUUGGAUGAUGUUUCCAUUUGUUUCUCUUAAAAAUAGGCUCAUUAAGGAUUUAAACAUAUAAAUUUAAGCCCCUAACUUUUUUUUUACAAUUUUUUAUGAUUUUCCAAAGUCAGAACAGGGGAACUCGAAAUCAUUCUGACCUUUUUCCACAAAAUUUAUUAUAUCUCAUAAUUUACAAUUUCAUUGCUUACACUGCUUCUUCCAUAAAAAACUAGAUUCAAUAAAAUUUAAUUUCAUAUUUUAUUCAACCUCACUCAAUUUCCACUAUUUUUGAUGAUUUUUCAAAGUUAGACUACUGCUGCUGUCCAAAACUAUUUUAGUGCAAAAUGUUAAUUUCCAAGUUUAUAACGCCCUUAUUUCCAUUCUCUACAAUUUUCUUCACAUCAUUUUCUCUUAUUUCUCUUAUUUCUUGACAACAAGCAAUUUUGGCUUUUUGUCGAAUCCAGUUUUCGACGUUUCGGGUACACACCUGGUAUCGUUUCUGAUGCAUAAGCACUCCUAAGCCUUCAGAACCUAAAAAUCGACCAACAUAUCUCUAGAUUAAUCACUUAAUUCGUUUUUAAUCAACCAAUUUUGGAAGGAACUCAACUAAAAACCUAACAAAACCCUUACCUCACUUGAGUAAUAAAGACUUCGCACAAUCACAGCAUCGAUUCAAAACCACCAGCCCCUUGAUUAACUCCUAAACACCAAAAAGGAAUCUCCCUUUUAGAGAUUAACCAAGAACGAUUAACAAUAGACAAAACUGUUACUUACCGAACACGCGUAACCAACGAUGAACAACAGAAUCAAUUGGGAACAAAAAAGAAACUGAAGAGGAAAAAAUAAUGGAAACUUCGGCAGCAACUAGAGGAAAGAAUCGACAUAGGAGAGAAAAAAAAGAAGAAGAAGAAAACGUUAGAAAAAGUUUGGGGAAUUGGAGAGAAAACCGAAACUCUAUCAUUAUUUUUUUUUGCAACAAAAAGAUAAUCAGAUUAUCUUCUACCCCAAUUAUCUCCUAAAAUCACUCCCUAUUAACCCACCAAAACACAACUGCUUAGAAUUUUGCCCCAACACAACUCUUAGCUAAAAUUGGAGCAAAAAUACUGUAUCCAUGCCAUCACAAAGAAUUAAACACAAGACCUCCAACACUCCAACACUCCACUUAACCACCAAACCAACAGACCCAUUCUGAUAUAAACUUACCAACAAUUAAACUUAAGCCCUUUGCACAAGGUUAAGGCUUUAUUUAUAAAAAUACCAAAAUUUGCCCAAGUAAGGCUUGAACUUGGGACCUCUCACACACACCCAGAACACUUAACCACUGAAGCAGAUACACACUUGUGUGUCACACAUACACGAAAUCAAAAAUUAAAAUUUUGGGGCGUUACAAUUACAUAAUCAAAUCUUAUUAAAUAUUAUACUACUCAAUCUUUUAAGAUUAGUUUCCUUAUUUACCAAGGUAGCCUAAUUUCUCAUAUCUGCAUCAUUGGGCCACCCGAGCUUCAAACAGAUAGGCUUUUUCAUCAGUUCUUUGAAUCAGGCCAGUUCUCGUGGAUCAAAUGAUCCCCAUCUAACUGAUAGACCUCAAUGGGAUGCAUUUUGUGCAAUGUUAAUGAGUUUUGAACUGCGGCCUGUGACACUAGAAUUAGAUUAAUAGGUCAAUUUAACUUAAAAUCACAUAAGCCCUUAUUUCAAUAAAAUAUAUGUCCAAAAAAUUCGAUGUUGAAAAGCACAAACAAAAUUAGGUGUUUACAAUCACCCCUCUGUGCAUGUUGCUUGCUAGUACGGAACAUGCAAAGAUGAAGACUCAUAACUAUUUUUUACUUUAAAAAAAACAACCAAACAAAAUAAUGUUCUUAAAAAAUGAAGUGAAUCUAUCAAUAGGAUUUUUUGUGAAAAAGAAGAAUGGAUGGAGCUCAAAACUUUGAAAAACUAAGGGUGAGAUUAGAUAGACGGUGGUUUACUUGCAGUUAGUCUAAAAAUAGCAAUGGCGGUGGAUUAGAUACUGUAUAGAUGCUGUAGCGUGAAACAAAAAGUAAGCUAAAUGUAACGCACCCCACCACCUAUCCAAACUCACCCUAAUUGAACCUCACAACCGAGCCUCUAAAUAGGCAACUAAAUUGGGUUUCCAAAAGUAAAUUGACUUCACUGAUCGAGAAUAGUCCUCAAAACUAGGUUUCUUAACACUAUCUUGGAUUUGUUAUAAUGUUAUAAUGAAUCUUUAUUUUGUUUUUAAUCAUAUUCAUAUUAGAUUCAGAUCGACAAAAAUUGAACAAUCAAAUAAACUCAAUUUUUUGCGAGUGAAUAUGUACUCUUUUUCUAAUUCAAUUGUCGGGUUAACCCAAGACCUCUCAGAAUCUCUGGUUUGUUCCGCCAUCCUCCCUGAUAAAUCAUUAAGAUUCGUUUUCAAUAGAAUCCUCUGCAUUCAAAACUAAAUUAUUUUUUUAAUAUAAGAAAACAAUUAAGACACAUUUAAGAUUCUUUAUUAGUGUUAUAAUUUAUAAAGAUGGAUGAAAAUGAAGAAUAACUUUCCGAAGGAUUUCAUAUCUUGAUUAAGGCUACUAGAGUUUGAAAAUUCAAAUUAGCACGUCUUGUUUUCCUCAGAGACUGCAAGUAACAGCUGCUAUAAUUGCAUAUUGAUUAAGAAAGCAUACAUCACAGACCGAUCGACAAAACAAUUUAUUACAAGUACUAUAAUUUUGGGUAAUUUUUAUUUUCCUUUUGAAGAAAAUUUUGUUCAAAGAUUAAAAUAGAGGACUUGUUGGUUUAUCCAAAAAGUGCUGCAAAUCCCAUCUUCCAUGACUGAUUGCUGAGAUUAUACCCUCCAUCGACAGGCACGUUAACACCACUGAUGAAUUUAGCCUCAUCACUUGCCAAAUACAGUGUUGCAUGUGCAAAAUCUUCAGGUUCCAAUACGGUGCCUUUCAACACAGCUAAAGCCGCAAUCAUCUCCUCUCCCUUCUUCUUAUCGAACAACCCCAGUGUUGUUUGGAACAAUGGGGUCACAGUUGCGUGAGGUGAAAUGCAAUUAACUCUAAUUCCAUGCUCACCUAACUCCACGGCCAUGCUCUUCAUCAACCCUACGACGCCAUACUUCGAUGCCUUGUAUGCAUGGGGCAGACCGAUGCUGAUUUUUGAAGAAAUACUCGACGAGAAG
rnacentral:lncRNA from 1 species